CAAUGCAUGAUGGGAGUGGAUUAAAUCGGCUGUGACUAAAAGGCCGCAUUACAACAGACAGAUGUAUAAAAAAUGAUUGCUUUCCUGUGCCCAAAACAUAAUCAAAUCCUAAAAUGACAUCCAAGAACUAUAGUGAAUGACAAAGCAACAUUGUCGCAGGGCGGAUGCCGGUAGCUAUAUCGACCAAAGAGAGCUGGCUCCUAAAUCUGGUGACCUUCCAAGGAGCGACAUGGGCAAACACACUUGGCUCACUGGGGUGUGUACGUGGACCAGCGCGAGGGGGCCUGGCUCUGUCAGCUCUCUGUAUAACAACUGGGACCAACUGAAGGGAAACCCUCCCACCCGCUAGAGCUCGGCAUUGAACAUGGACCAGUCAAAACAUUUCCCCAAAUAUAUCUUGAUACCUUUGUAGACAUAUCCUCCCUUUCCAUAAUAACUUAUCUUGUCCCUGAGUUAGGCCCCUAAGGUUGCAUUGAAGGGUGGCCAGGUCUGGAAGAUGUCAAGUGUUAGACCUAAUUUAUGCUGUAAUGCACAUCAACGCUGCACAAUUGAUGUGUAUCAAUUUGUUGCUGGUGUUCAUUGGAUUCAUUGUUGUGAAUAUCUGAUCAACUGCCUAUGCACAGCUUUUUCCUAAAUUGCACUGUCUAAAUGUCACAUUGAAUCAGUAUUAUUGACGGAGUUGAAUGUUGUUGCAAAGAUUGAAUGCGGUCUUACUGAAGUGAAAUGUAGAGUUGCUUCCUAUGGAUUUCUACAUAAGUACCUCAUUCCACAACUUUGCAUGUGGUAAUUUGCAAAUGUUUGCUUUAUGCCAAGAGAAUGUUACUGUUCAUUUUAUUAAAGACAAGUCACAGUUUGUUAAACUUA